CUGCCCACCUUGCUGACACUCACCAGGUCUGGCCUUUCUGGGAAAUAUCGCCCUCGGAGGAAUCUGGGAAGAGGAAAUACAGCUGAAGCAUCCUAGAAGGAGAGGAUGUUAGGAGAGAUGAUCAGAGGGAUGGAGAAGAGGAGUCUCUUCUGCUAUGUUGUGCGGUCCUUCCCACGGGAAACAGCUCUCUGUGAACUUCUCCAACGUGGUUCUAAUUGUCAUAAGUAGCAGUCCUGUCCAACCUGCGGUAACGUGAGUCCUCCCACAGGCAAAGCAGUCUUUCCAAAACUGCAUGGCAUGGAUCACUUUAGUGCUUGGGCUGUACUCUUUUAAGUACAAGCUGCUAUAGUUUGGAAGCAAGGGCCUUUAUCUCUGGAGGCAAAGGCCCUCUCUACCUCUGGAAGCCAGGGCUCUCUUGCUCUGCUCGAGUCUCCCACACAACAGCUUUUUAGCAUCCACUCACUCUGGCAUGAGCACCUUUUCUCACGGGCUGCAAGUGGAUCUCUGCAUCCCCCAUGGACUUCAUGAAUUACAGCGAGACUGUCGUGUCAUAGUCCUCACCACGGCCUGCAGAGAGAGCUCAACUCGGACACUUGGAGCACUUCCUCCCCCUCUUCCUUCCACCGACUGUGGCUUGCUAUGUUGUCUUCAGCCACAUGUCCUCACCUUCUCCUCUUUCUCUAAAAGGAAAAAAACCCUGCUCCCUGUAAGCACCACUACCAACAAACUCCACCAGUCUGAAGAUUUCUGCAGGAUUUUGACACGCUGAGAAGUUGAUCUCGCCCAGGCUCCGUGUGGGGGAAUCGCUCACCACACCCCUCGCCGCCAUUCCCGCGGCCCUUCUGCCCUCAGGGCGGCUGGCCUGAGGCCGCCGGCAGGCAAAGCUGGCUGGCAACUGCCGCACGGAAAAACCACAACUCCAAACAACCCUCCCAAGGGCUUUUUGAUUGCCUUCUUAAAUAUGUAACCACAGAGGCGUUACCGACUUCUCUAAUUGGGCCAGCAGCAUGUCCAUCUUCAGAGCCAUCGGAGAUUCGCUCUAUCGGACACAGUAGAAGUUUCUAGCAGUUUUUCACAGACGCCACCUCUGUGGUUCACCCCCCACCCCCCUUCCAAAAAACAAAGCAAAACAAAAAAACAAAACAAACCCAAAACAAAACAAAAACCAAACCCCCCCCCCAAAAAAAAAAAAAACCAACAAAAAAAACCCAACCAAAAAACAAAAAAAAACAAACACAAAAGAACCAGCUGUGUUAAAUGGCGUGUUUAAACAACACACAAAGCCAGGUACCAAAAUCCUAGCCUUGGUGCCAGUACUUCAUGCAGCAGUCCCAGGGAGUGUGGAGGGAGGAAGACUUUGGCCCCAGCAGACCAUAGAGGUGCAGGUUGUUCAAAGGACAGUGACGAUGAGGAGAAGCCUUCGUCGGAAGCGACCACCAAAAGCCAAGAAGACUCCUGAGAAACAAGCAGAGCAUGCACUGUGCAGUAUAGUGACAUAGAUUUCAAGAAUCGAAAAUAGGAGGAGAUUUACAGGAAAAUACUGAUGGAUAUGUAUUAGCAUACAGUAUAUGGGCUGUGUUUGGAUUCCUGUGCUUUUUGUGCGGGAGGCAGGAACCAAUAAAGGAAGAGAAAGAGAGCCCUGUUACUGAAGAAAGCCUCAUCUAAUCUGAGAUGCAACUGGAUCUCUUUGAACAACUCCAGGGACACCAAGCACCAUCCUGACCUCCCCUACACCAACAGACUGCAGGACACAGAUUUUAUUAGAUAAGGCUGAGAUCAACCUUUGUGUGAGCCUUGGCUUUGGCCCAAGGGGCACCAGUUUCCUAUUUGGGAAUACUCAGAUUUUCCAUCAGAAGCAACAAGCAAAACCCUGAUCCCUCCUGGCUUCUCUGCUCCCACCCCUUGGCAGCAGCUGAGCUGGAUCCCUUUGCUGAACAGACAGCAGAGGGCUCUGGUCAAGUAGCCUGUAAGGCAAUAACUGCAGGCAGGAUCUGGGUUAGGCAAGGAUUUAGCCAAGAUUAGCUGUGUUAACAAAAUCUUUGAUUCAGCACUGCAGCAGAUGCACUCCAGCUGUGAUGGCCGGAAGCAGCCAGCUCAGCAUGGAGCAAGAAAGCGGCCGGCUGGGCCCCGUGCUGUUUUUUGGGCCUGCCUGGCACUUUGAGAGGCUUUUUAUGAUGUUGAAUUGUAUCCCCAUUCCUCUGUUUAGUCCAGAAAUAAGCUUUGUGCCUUUAAAACUAAAUCUGAGAGUGAAGUGGGGGAGAAGGAAAAGCAGUGGAAUGUUUUGUUGCUGUAUUCAAAAACAUAGAGAUAAGAGCUUCAGCUCUCUCUCAGUGUGUGUUGUGUGCAGCACGGACAGGGAGCAGGAGAGAAUUCUCCUUUGCUUUUAGUUAGCUUUUUUAGCUAGAUGAAGCAGAGAAGUUCCCUGGACUGUGGCUUUUUCUUUUCCUGGAACUGUUCAAACCUGCUCUGGACCAAAACCCCAGAAAAACCACUGAGAUCUCAUACUUGUGGCCUACCAUAGCCCAGGACACUGCAUUCCAGCCCUGGAGGGACUGACAGAGACCGAGUGAGCUGAGAAACAUCCAUAGACAACCCUCUCUGAACUUUCUGAAUCUACCAUCUCUUCAGAAGAGCAAGAGGUUUUAUUGUUUAAUAUUAUUAAUUUUUAUGCUUGUGAAUACUUUGCUUUUUAAAUAAACAGUCUUUUCAAUUUUUCUUGAAGGAGGUUUAUCUCCUGAACAGGUCAGGGGAAGGGCUGCUGAAUUUUGCCCUUUAGGGAAUCAUCCCUUUGGAAGUUCCCUUCCAAAUCUGUCCCAAACCAGGACAUGAGCAAAGUCACCUCUCCCUUCAGUGCUGUUUUCCACUGCUAAUGUUGUUCUGGGAAGAGGAGAGCCCAACCAUGGAUUAAGCCUUAAGCAGGGUGGACUAAGUGUUCCCAUGCAGGAGAACAGGAGACUGGAAAGCCAUGGGGGUGCAGAUAAGAGCAUAGCUGCCAGGGCUGGAAGGUGAUCCCACCUCCAAACAGCACGUCCUAAAUGCAGAGGGAAAGGCAGGUUUUCGGAAGUAUUUGGUUGAUUUUGGAGUUGAACUCCGGGAACUGGAGCCUUUCUCAGAGGCAAAUCCCAGAACUUUGAAAUCAAUUCCCACUGAAAUUCACAGAAUAUUGGGAAAUGAGCCAAGGCAGCUGUUUGGAAUCAAACACCUGCACGUGUGACUCUUGUCUGUAGUAAGAUAUUUUGGUGCAAUUACUUAGAAACAGCCCCUGCAAGCUCAACCCUGUGUCCAGAUGUUGGGGAUGAUGCCUCAUCCCAUGGAGCAGAGGAAGGCUCUGUGCCAGUGCCCAAGGUACAAUGUCCCAAACACUGCCCUGUGGCAAAGGCAUCCCUGUGUCCUUCCCACCACAGCUUCUGUGUGGAUUUUAAAUUAAUUUUUUUCUGAAGUUACAUCAGUCUCACUUUAGGGCACAGGUAGCAUGACUGGAGCUCUGCCUUCAAGUAGCAACUUCCUCUGGAAAAUCACCAUGGAAAAAUGGUGAUUAAAUUGGGACAGUCCUGGAUGACUUAAUCUUGGAAGCAUCACACGUCUUACAGAGUGUCAGCAUGGAUAUGUACCCAUGUGCAUGCUCCUGGGCAUUUACUGCUGCAGAAUUCUGUGACAGAGGAAUUCUUCGAGCAAAAAGGAAAAGGGGAGUUAUAAAAAAAGGAACAGGAAGAAAAGAGGAGGAAGACAGGGAGAAGUUGUUGAAUUUGAUGAUCUUAUGGUUCUUUUCCAACCUAGAUAAUUCUAUGGUUCUAUGAUUACACUUGUGGAAUAAAAAUUCCAGUUUAAUCCUAUUUGUGAGCAGCUGGUGGACUCUUAGUGAAAAAUAGGUAAUAGGACAAAAAUUAGGUAGGAAAAGUUAUUGUAACUAAACACACAUAUAGCCAGGGAAGCACUCUCCUGAUAGAGAAGAAGAUAAAGGUAAAUUAAAUCUCUGCAACCUGCUGCUAAUUUUCACCUUGAAAAAGGCACUGCAUUAAACACAUUUGGCAUUUGUAGCAUAUGAAGAUUUUUUGUGAGUAUAUAACUGUGAACGAAGAAUCAAAGGAUAAGAAAAUUCUCAUGGGAGUGUGUGAGUCAACAAAUGUUCAUGCUUGGGUUAAAUCUCAUCCCUGGAAGUGUUCAAGGCCAGGUGGGAUAGGGCUUGGAGCAGCCUGGGAUAGUGGAAGGUGUCCUGGCCCAUGGCAGGGGGCUGGAACUGAAUGGGAUUUAAGGUCCCUUCCAACAUAAAGCAUUCUGUGAAUUGCUAAUUCUAAAUAAUUUCCAUCCCAGGCAGGAGAGGGGCAGCAGCCUUGGGAAGAGCAUUCCUCUGGUCACAAUGGGAUGGCCCAGCAUUCCUGCUUGUUCUCUUUCUUGCAUUACCAUCUGCCUGAACAGGCUGGGUCCGCAUGUUUUAGACAAAAACUUCCUCUGUAAGGAAUGGAGAAUGGGGAAUUGGAAAUGAGCAGGGGUAGUGUCAGAUUGAAAGCCUCGUGGGGUCUGGUUUGUCUAGCUUUGGACCCUGGUAGUACCAACAAGGACAAA